GGAAGCGUAUCGAAGUGGUCAUAACGAGCCGCACUCGAAAUGCGGUGACGGGCAACCGUCCGCGAGUUCGAAUCUCGCCGCUUCCGCCA
rnacentral:tRNA from 2 species